GGCUGGUCCAAAGGGAAUACAUUAUCCCAAUUAAUUAUUGUUCAGAGUUAGUUACAGAUCGAAUUCUUUGUUCUACUCUUUCCCCCUUUCUCACUACUAUGCUUGACAAGUCUUUU
rnacentral:Y_RNA from 1 species